rnacentral:rRNA from 1 species
UCGGGAAUUUUGGGCAAUGGGCGAAAGCCUGACCCAGCAACGCCGCGUGAAGGAUGAAGUAUUUCGGUAUGUAAACUUCGUAAGAAUAGGAUGAAUAAAUGACGGUACUAUUUAUAAGGUCCGGCUAACUACGUGCCAGCAGCCGCGGUAAUACGUAGGGACCAAGCGUUGUUCGGAUUUACUGGGCGUAAAGGGCGCGUAGGCGGCAAUUCAAGUCAUCUGUGAAAUCUCCGGGCUUAACUCGGAACGGUCAGAUGAUACUGCUUUGCUAGAGUGCAGAAGGGGCAAUCGGAAUUCUUGGUGUAGCGGUGAAAUGCGUAGAGAUCGGGAGGAACAUCCGUGGCGAAGGCGGCUCUCUGGACCAGCACUGACGUUGAGGCACGAAAGCGUGGGGAGCAAACAGGAUUAGAUACCCAAGUAGUCCCUGAGCGGGCUGGCAAGGCGCAU